UCGAGACCUGUCCCACUACUUUCCCUCGUACUCUUGCCAAUUCUCCACCACCCCGUACCGCUAUUUCUCCUCCUCCACUUCCUGCUACCUCUCCUCUCCGAUCGGACGUUGUAUUAUCAUCGGCGUUGAUACGCGUGUACUCAUCAUUUUUCGGUAUAUCACGAGAUUUUCAAGGGACCGACAGAGUUGUUGUAUUAGUUGUAUCGCGGGUUGACUGUACAACAAUCUACAAGUUAAAAACUAUUAUUUACAAACACGACGACGGUAAAAUUCGUAUGUUUAAUGAAUAAUUUAAUAUUUUGCCGCGAGACGUUAA